GUAGGGAGCAAGCGUUGUUCGGGAAUUAUGGGGGCGUAAAGAGCGCGUAGGCGGCCAGGUAAGUCUGAUGUGAAAUCCCACAGCUCAACUGUGGAACUGCAUUGGAAACUGCUUGGCUAGAGUGCGGGAGAGGAGAGUGGAAUUCCCAGUGUAGAGGUGAAAUUCGUAGAUAUUGGGAGGAACACCAGUGGCGAAGGCGGCUCUCUGGACCGCAACUGACGCUGAGGCGCGAAAGCUAGGGGAGCGAACGGGAUUAGAUACCCCGGUAGUCCUAGCCGUAAACGAUGGGCACUAGGUGUGGGAGGUAUCGACCCCUUCUGUGCCGUAGCUAACGCAUUAAGUGCCCCGCCUGGGGAGUACGGCCGCAAGACUA
rnacentral:rRNA from 1 species